rnacentral:rRNA from 1 species
GCCACGCCCGCUCAGAAACUCAAAGGAAUUGACGGGGCCCGCACAAGCGGUGGAGUAUGUGGUUUAAUUUCGAUGCAACGCGAAGAACCUUACCUGGUCUUGACAUCCCGGAGACCCUUAGGAAACUAGGGGGUGCUUCCAUCUGGAAGAAUCUGGAGACAGGUGCUGCAUGGCUGUCGUCAGCUCGUGUCGUGAGAUGUUGGGUUAAGUCCCGCAACGAGCGCAACCCUUGCCUUUAGUUGCCAGCAGUUCGGCUGGGCACUCUAAAGGGACUGCCGGUGUUAAACCGGAGGAAGGUGGGGAUGACGUCAAGUCCUCAUGGCCUUUAUGACCAGGGCUACACACGUACUACAAUGGUCGGUACAAAGGGUUGCCAAGCCGCGAGGUGGAGCUAAUCCCAUAAAACCGAUCGUAGUCCGGAUCGCAGUCUGCAACUCGACUGCGUGAAGUCGGAAUCGCUAGUAAUCGUGAAUCAGAAUGUCACGGUGAAUACGUUCCCGGGCCUU